rnacentral:rRNA from 1 species
AUUGAACGCUGGCGGCAUGCCUUACACAUGCAAGUCGAACGGCAGCACGGGGGCAACCCUGGUGGCGAGUGGCGAACGGGUGAGUAACAUAUCGGAACAUACCCUAGAGUGGGGGAUAACGUAGCGAAAGUUACGCUAAUACCGCAUACGAUCUAAGGAUGAAAGUGGGGGAUCUUCGGACCUCAUGCUCAUGGAGUGGCCGAUAUCUGAUUAGCUAGUUGGUGAGGUAAAGGCUCACCAAGGCGACGAUCAGUAGCUGGUUUGAGAGAACGACCAGCCACACUGGAACUGAGACACGGUCCAGACUCCUACGGGAGGCAGCAGUGGUGAAUUUUGGACAAUGGGGGCAACCCUGAUCCAGCAAUGCCGCGUGAGUGAAGAAGGCCUUCGGGC